rnacentral:sRNA from 1 species
AUUGGGAAUUGCAUUACAUGCAAAUUUUAUGCUGCCAAUUGCUGCUAUUAUACGAAAUGCAGAGGAGCGCAGAUAUUGAAGAUAGCGAAAUUGCAUUAACUGCAAGCUGACUAGCAGCUGCUGCCAUAUAAAGUGCAGAGGGGCGCAAAACCGAGAUAGCAGUACUGCAUUAAUUGCAAGCUGACUAGCAGAGCACAUCAACUGCGGCAAGGAGAUUUAGCCAAGUGGGCUGCACAGCCAAUAGGGCGGAUAUUUAAGUUAGUUUUUAGUUAAUUCAAAAUGUGCAUCUUAGGCGCAAGUGCCGUCAGAUAUGUUCGCUGCACAUAUAUAUAUAUAUGUGC